UUUAAAUUGAGGGGGGCAAGGGGGGUCCCCAUAACAGCAAAACAGUGAAUUGAUUUGGUGAAAAACAGAUAACAAGGAAUUGAAAAGGGACAAUAACAGAUAACAGUAAAUGAAAUAUGAAAAUAAAUCUGUCCAGGACCAAUCCAGUAGAUGACUCGUAGAUCUUAGUAUAUAACUUGUGGUAUGGACCUAGAAAAUUGUAAUUUGUGUAAACAAGACGUUUCGGCCGUUGAGGCAGUUCUGCCUUGGUUGAUUUUUUCCCGUAACUUGUACAAUAAGUUAUAGUAUGGAUGUUGAAUUUUUCUGAACGAAAUUACUAGUUUCUGUUUUUGAUAUACGGAUAUUUUUAAUCUAAGGCAUUUGAGGGAUCAAUUUUUA
rnacentral:lncRNA from 1 species